rnacentral:tRNA from 1 species
AUGUCGCCGAGUGGUUGAGACACCAGGCCAAUAACCUAAUUGUCGUAGGUUCGAGCCCGG